rnacentral:tRNA from 1 species
UCUUUGAUGGUCCAAUGGUUAGGACUCCACACUUUCACUGCCAGUGGCCCAGGUUCAACUCCCGGUAGGGGAA